rnacentral:rRNA from 1 species
GACGAACGCUGGCGGCGUGCUUAACACAUGCAAGUCGAACGGAAAGGCCCUGCUUUUGUGGGGUGCUCGAGUGGCGAACGGGUGAGUAACACGUGAGUAACCUGCCCUUGACUUUGGGAUAACUUCAGGAAACUGGGGCUAAUACCGGAUAGGAGCUCCUGCUGCAUGGUGGGGGUUGGAAAGUUUCGGCGGUUGGGGAUGGACUCGCGGCUUAUCAGCUUGUUGGUGGGGUAGUGGCUUACCCAGGCUUUGACGGGUAGCCGGCCUGAGAGGGUGACCGGCCACAUUGGGCCUGAGGUACGGCCCAGACUCCUACGGGGGGCAACAGUGGGGAAUAUUGCACAAUGGGCGGAAGCCUGAUGCAGCAACGCCGCGUUCGGGAUGACGGCCUUCGGGUUGUAAACCGCUUUCGCCUGUGACGAAGCGUGAGUGACGGUAAUGGGUAAAGAAGCACCGGCUAACUACGUG